GUGAGAUCAAGCUGUUGAGCAGGUGUUUUCUGGGAUUUGCCCCCACCCCACAGCAUACUCUGAAGUCAUUCACAGACUCCAUCUGCCUUUCUUGUCUUCUCUAGAGUUCUGCUCCCCAUCGCAUUUGGGUGAAUGCAGGAGCAUCAGGAAGGUUGAUGGGACAUACAGAUAGCUGUCUACUCUCUGUACAUUGACGUGAACAUCCCUCCGUAUCCGCUGCCCGAAGGACCCCCAGUCCCAACUGUGCUUGCAGGACGACCUUGUGCCGGGACCCUGCAUGUCAGUGCAUACAGAAAGGAGGCGCCGGCCUGGAUGGGAAGACUGAAUCUGUCGGCCCAGAAGAGUGUGAAGAAUCACAGCCCUCCUUCAGGACUCUUGUUUCCAGAUCUCGGGUGGCGGAUGAGGGCUCUCCAUGUCCUUCCUCAGCAAGUGGACAGUAAAGGUACCAAGGAGUCCUGGGACCUUCGAGGGGUGGCGUGAUGAAAGCAGAAGCGCGUUGGGGCUGUGGCCUCUCGUCUGCAGGGACUGCCGUGGGAUCCGGCGGCCAUGACAUGAGAAGAUACCCUGGAAGCUUCAGCAGCCCACUCUGGCCCGGCGGCCACCGUAUGCGGCGGCUCCCACCCUCUUCUCCGUCCUCUGAACUUGUAGCUACACAGCAGCGUCUCCCAGCGUCUCCCAGCUGCCUCCGCUCCCAAGUCUUACGGCUCAAGUUCGGCACAGGCAGACCUGCUGAACCUGCCUCAGCCUUGGUAAAUGGGACCCCAGGCACCAUGACUCCAGCUGGAGACGGAGCCACUGCGGUGCCCCCUGCCCCGGGCACCCCAUGCCCUUUCAUCAGUUCUCUUGGUCCCGUCUUUAAGUAUUUUUCAGACUUGUCCACUUCUUUACUACGGGCUGUAGGCUAGUCUGACUGCCCCAACCCUCUGCUGAACUUAGCUGCCGCUUACUGCCCUUGGUUCCAAUGUACAGCCCUCCCGAGCCUGCCGCCCACAGCCUGCCUCACCUUCGCAGAAACGCCGGGAUGGUGUAACUGCCCGUGCAGAGCCCUGGCUGGCGUCCAUCCUGCACCAGGACCCCGAUGUGCACUCCCUGCGGCAGCCGGGUCCAGGGUCCUCCUCAAAGCCCUCCCUCCUGCUGUGCUUAGCAGGGAGGGGCCGGCCCUGGGACCCUUCUGGUCCUGUACUGGUCCCAAUUCCUCUGCUCCUGCAGCCCAGCUGCUGAACAGCUCCCAGGAGUCGAGACUGUGGGUCCCUCCCAGCAGCUGGUGGAGAACAGCUCAGCCCAGACUCAGCCGUUUUCAAACAGAUUCCCAUUUUCAGACCAGGACAGUAAGGCCACAGGAGGCCCACCUUGGUUUUCAGAAAGGUUGCUCAUCAACUAUGCUGUUGCUUUCUCUUACAACUUGGGAUUCUAUCAGUUUCCAAACUGUGCAUACAAAUAAAUUCAUAAUAGUAGCAAUAAUCAAAAUUUUACCCCCUCCCCUACCUGAUUUUUUUUUUUUUUUUUGAGACAGUGUCUUACUAUGUAUUUCAGGCUGGCCUGAGAGUGAUCCUCCUGCCUUGGCCUCCUGCUUGCUGGGAUUGCAGGCAUGUGCUGCCAGGCCUGGAUUCCCCAUCCGUUUAUGGAGUUUUGACUCUUAUGCAGAGUUCCCUUUGGUACUGCUGGAUUCCCCUGAG
ensembl:lncRNA